GGUAGCCGGCCUGAGAGGGUGUCCGGCCACACUGGGACUGAGAUACGGCCCAGACUCCUACGGGAGGCAGCAGUGGGGAAUAUUGCACAAUGGGCGCAAGCCUGAUGCAGCGACGCCGCGUGGGGGAUGACGGCCUUCGGGUUGUAAACCUCUUUCAAUAGGGACGAAGCGCAAGUGACGGUACCUAUAGAAGAAGCACCGGCCAACUACGUGCCAGCAGCCGCGGUAAUACGUAGGGUGCGAGCGUUGUCCGGAAUUACUGGGCGUAAAGAGCUCGUAGGUGGUUUGUCGCGUUGUCCGUGAAAUUUCACAACUCAAUUGUGAGCGUGCGGGCGAUACGGGCAGACUGGAGUACUGCRGGGGAGACUGGAAUUCCU
rnacentral:rRNA from 1 species